AGUGGCGGACGGGUGAGUAACGCGUGAGAAUCUGCCUUGGGGUCGGGGACAACCACUGGAAACGGUGGCUAAUACCGGAUAAGCCGAUUGGUGAAAGAUUUAUUGCCCGAAGAGGAGCUCCCGUCUGAUUAGCUAGUUGGUGAGGUAAGAGCUCACCAAGGCAGCGAUCAGUAGCUGGUCUGAGAGGACGAUCAGCCACACUGGGACUGAGACACGGCCCAGACUCCUACGGGAGGCAGCAGUGGGGAAUUUUCCGCAAUGGGCGAAAGCCUGACGGAGCAAGACCGCGUGAGGGAGGAAGGCUCUUGGGUUGUAAACCUCUUUUCUCAGGGAAGAAGCUCUGACGGUACCUGAGGAAUCAGCCUCGGCUAACUCCGUGCCAGCAGCCGCGGUAAUACGGAGGAGGCAAGCGUUAUCCGGAAUUAUUGGGCGUAAAGCGUCCGCAGGUGGCGAUUCAAGUCUGCUGUCAAAGCACGGGGCUUAACUCCGUAAAGGCAGUGGAAACUGAAUAGCUAGAGUGCCGUAGGGGUAGAGGGAAUUCCCGGUGUAGCGGUGAAAUGCGUAGAGAUCGGGAAGAACAUCGGUGGCGAAAGCGCUCUACUGGACGGCAACUGACACUCAGGGACGAAAGCUAGGGGAGCGAAUGGGAUUAGAUACCCC
rnacentral:rRNA from 1 species